rnacentral:misc_RNA from 1 species
UUAAAUUCAGGGGGUCUUCCCACUUCAUCUGAGGUCUAAUUCAUAGGUUGAACAGCCCGAAGGUUAUUCAGUUGUUUCUUUUUGCUGCGUAACAUAGGGUCGAUGGAUUGAAUUCACAAUUAAGUGAAAGCAACUUGCCACCGGCACACACAGUUGCACGGCUGGAAUUUAAAAGGAAAGAAGCCGAGACUCCUUACCUU